UCUUUUUGAAAAGAGAAGCCGAAGCGAAAGCGAGUCUGAACAGGGCGUCUAGUCAGUGGGGGUUGACGCGAAACUUGGUGAUCUAUCCCUGGCCAGGCUGAAGGGGUGGUAACACACCGUGGAGGGCCGAACCGAUAAGCGUUGAAAAGCUUCCGGAUGAGCUGGGGAUAGGGGUGAAAGGCCAAUCAAACUGAGAAAUAGCUCGUACUCUCCGAAAUGUUUUUAGGAACAGCGUUACGUGUUACUGUCUGUGAGGUAGAGCGACCAACAGGAUGCGGGGGAGUCACAUCCUACCAACUUCUGAUGAACUCCGAAUGCGCAGAGAGGUGCGUGGCAGUGAGGGCUUGGGUGCUAAGGUCCAAGUCCGAGAGGGGAACAACCCAGACCAUCAGCUAAGGUCCCUAAGUGUGUGCUAAGUUGAACAAAGGCGGUCCGGCUGCUGAGACAGCCAGGAGGUUAGCUUGGAAGCAGCUAUUCCUUUAAAGAGUGCGUAACAGCUCACUGGUCGAGCGGGGCGGGCGUCGAUAAUAAACGGGCAUCAAGCACAUCACCGAAGCUAUGGACCUAUACUUUGAGUAUAGUGUGGUAGGAGAGCAUUCUAACAUCAGUGAAGUUGAAGCGUGAGCUUUGGUGGAGAGGUUAGAAAAGCAAAUGUAGGCAUAAGUAACGAGAAUGAGGAUGAGAACUCCUCACACCGAAAAGCUAAGGUUUCCUCCGCGAUGGCAGUCAUCGGAGGGUUAGUCGGGGUCUAAGGAGCAGGCGAAUGCCGGGCUUUGAGGGGGAUUGGGUUAAUAUUCCCAAACUAUCUAUGCAGGGGUGCUCAUGACGGAGUGCUAGAGAUCUAGGUCCUGACGGAAUAGGGCGUUGAGCGGAGGCUUCGGCUGAAGCGAAGACGUUGACGGGGCUUCCAAGAAAAGUGAGUAGCCGUUAAGCGUAUGGAUACCCGUACCGUAAACCGACACAGGUAGCUGGGAAGAAUAUUCUAAGGUGCGCGAAAGAAUCAUGGUUAAGGAACUCGGCAAGAUUACCCUGUAACUUCGGGAUAAGGGGGGCCGUCUGGCAACAGCGGCUGCAGAGAAGAGGCCCAGGCGACUGUUUACCAAAAACACAGGACUCUGCCAAAAUGAAAGUUGACGCAUAGGGUCUGACACCUGCCCGGUGCUGGAAGGUUAAGGGGGGAGCUUAGGGGUAACUCGAAGGUUUGAACUGAAGCCCCAGUAAACGGCGGCCGUAACUAUAACGGUCCUAAGGUAGCGAAAUUCCUUGUCGGGUAAGUUCCGACCUGCACGAAUGGUGUAACGAUCUGGGCACUGUCUCAACCAUGAGUUCGGUGAAAUUGUAGUAGCGGUGAAGAUGCCGCUUACCCGCCACGGGACGGAAAGACCCCGUGCACCUUUACUACAGCUUAACAUGAUGCCGGUCAGUCAUGUGUAGGAUAGGCGGGAGGAGUUGAAGUGGCGUCGCCAGGCGUCGUGGAUCCAACCUUGAAAUACCGCCCUUGGCUUACUGGCGUUCUAACUGGGAACAGGACGUGUUUGGUGGGUAGUUUGACUGGGGUGGUCACCUCCGAAAGGGUAACGGAGGUUUCCCAAGGUUGGCUCAUACCGGACGGUAAUCGGUAGGGGAGUGCAAUAGCAGAAGCCAGCUUGACAGUGAGGCCUACAAGCCGAUCUGGGACGAAAGUC
rnacentral:rRNA from 1 species